AUAAAUUAAAAUUGACGGCACUUUUGUCAUUUUAUAAUAAAUCUAGAAUAGACUCAAACCCAUCAUCUGUCUUACUGAUUGAACAGACACAAACCCAUCCCUUCCAAUUUUCUCCAUACUUCCGGAAAAUGCUCAGUUCUUUCAAUCCCUUCAGACAAGUUCAGUAUGUCGAAGGCUGCAUAACCUAUCCCGCAAUCAACAUUACAGGUGGAAAAGAGAGAGCAAAUCAAGCUCCAAAUAAUUUGAAAGGAGUUCUAGAUUAUUUGGAUCUGAGGAGAAAAGAAAGCUCCAAUAGAGGCUAAUAGGUUGAAGGCAUUGCUAAGAGCUGUUUCUCUACUGCUCUUAUCAAGUCUACUUGAUUGUUUCUACAUAAAGCCCGAUAAAGAUUGUAACGAGAGGAUGGUCAUGUAUCGUUUGUCAGAUUAAGAAUAUGUCCUCCUUCCGGACAAAAUAAACGGAUGAUCUGUCCGUUUCUGCCUACUUAUGUUGCUUCUGUUGGAAUAAUGCUUAAUUGUCCUAAUACUUGGUUGAAUUUGAACUAAAAGUACAAAUUGUCUGAGUUCAAGUGCUCUUCAUGAUGCUUAGAUCCGUAGUUCCAAUGUAUUUCUUAGGAUCAUAUUGAGUCCCACAAGGUUUAUCAGAAGACAAACAGAUUAGGUUGUAAUGAGCUGGUCCUUUUUUUUUUUGGUGAUGAAGUAAUGCUAAGAAAAAUACAAGAUUAGCUCCACAACAGAAACUGAUGUGAAGCUAAAGAUAUACGUGGCAUGAAUUAAUCUUCUUUUUCAAUUAUUAGAGCAGUUCAGUAUUUGCAAUUUAUGCAGUAGCUAUUUCGAUUAGUGCAUUUUGAUACUGAGAGAAACUCAGUUAAAGAGUCCUUUGUAGAAAAUGAAUUUUAAAGAUGAUGAGCUUAAUUGCAAAAGCAUUAAAAGAUAUGAGCUUUCCUCGGAUUGGGUAGAUAAACAAUUUCAUUUUUAAUAUGCGUCCCGCUCUUUUUUUUUUUUUUUUUUCGAGUAAUAUGGGGAUAGGCAACACUCCUUUGCUUGGGGUAUCACGUUUUGUACCAUUCUUAUCCAUAGUUUCUCAGGAAUAUAUAAUUCUUAAGAGAUUAUCUGCUUAUGUCCUUGAAAAUUUAGAUUAUCUGCUGAUGUCCUUGAAGAUGUAAUUCUUAAGAGACUAUCUGGUUAUGUCCUUGAAAACGUUUCUUCUUUCUAAUUUUCUUUUGUAUUGGAAACAAGUGCGACUUGAACCAAUUUUUUGUGUCUGAGAGUAGAAAAAUGGGAGUGUAUGCAGGUUGUCUGCUUUGCUACUUCACAGACACUCAUCAAAUGUUACUUUUGGGAAUUAGUAAAGAGAAAAUUACAUGUUGAUUGGUGUAAAUUCAGCUGACAUGGCUAACCAAGACAUAUUGGGAUGAUUCGGAAAGCAUUUCAAGGAUGCUGAAUUGAAAGCGUUGAAGGUUUUCUAUCUUAAGAUAUAUAAAGCACUGCCAUGUUGCAAUGUAAUAACUUCAUUAAAGUUUGUUCCUUCAAAAAAGACAUAUAUUUGAUUGUACUCGAAUCAUUCUCUGCACAAAUGAGUUGGAUUGUGCUCAUGGCGUGAAACCAGAUGAAGUGUGAGGGUGGCUCAUUUAUUUAAGUGAGUGGUAUAAAUGCUGCAAAUUGAGCUAUCUUUCCAAACUAUGGCUCAUGUAUUUAAGUGAGUGGCAUAAAUGCUGUAAAUUUGAGCUUUCUUUCCAAAUAGCAAACACGAAUAAAAUAAAGUUUUAGAUACGGAGCACAAACUACAAUGUUAUAUUAAUCGUAUUUUGAACAUAGUAUAUAUAUAUUAUCACUAUCCAAACACAACUACAUAUACAUAGAUACACUAUAAUCCGAAGUGUUGGGCCCGUGCGCAGCACGGGCAUAGGCCAUCUAGUAUAUUAUAGAAAUCACAGUUGGGAGGACGAACAUGACAUUAACAGCUGUACUAUGUGCUGCAUGAGUAUAAGGAUGACCAAGGAAAACUUUGGGAUUUGAUGUCAUCCACGUGUCCUUCCUCCUUUCUCUAAAUUACCUGAGCUUCCAAAUGUGUCCCUACGACAGAAAGUCCAUAUUUCCGGUUCCAACUUGACAGGUCCUCUUUAGUGAGGGAUAAUUUUGUGUUCUUACUUGGUUAGACCCUUUUUUAUGUCAUCAUCAAAAGUCCUCCUCCGUAUAUUCAUAAUUCCAACUUUAGAAGUCUCUCCAACAUUCUGUUUUCUCUUUCUCGCCUUUUGUCUAUUAAACCCUUGACUUCUUAAAUUGCUUUGCUUCCUUGAUUUCUCUACCUCUGUUGCAUUUGUCACUCUUCGCAAAUAUUGGUUUGAAAGAGUGGUUGAUUGGACGAACAAUCGAACAAAUUAUCUUGUCGCAUCUCUUGAUCCCCUGCAAUUUCUUGGACAUUGUUAAAAAAGAUAUGUAUUUCCUGUCUCAUCACUUGAUAGUUGGUAGUGUUUUUGUUGGUGAUUUAUCGCAGAAUUUAUAUUAUUACUUGAUUCAAUUAUGCGGAUAAGGUUGUUAUCCCUGCUCUGCGCAGUUGUUUAUUUGAUCAACAAGACAAAGCUAGACAAUGAAAUCAAAUCAUUGUUGGCACGUGUUGCCCAAAAGGUUGUUGAAGUAAAUGAUUUGGCAAGGCAUUAACUGAUGCCAAGGAUGGGGUAUUAGUUUGUUCUUAACUAAAGAACUUUAAAAAGUGACUCCAGAUAAAAAAAAAAAAAAUUAAGUUUGUUCCCAAAUCCUUGAGAGUGACAAAUAAAGCUGUUCAAAUAUGAAGUCAAAUGUCUGAAAUAUAUCUUAGCCUAAGCUUUACUUAGCUUCUUCUCUUUGUUUUCUAACAAUAUUUUUAUUAGGGAAAAGGGUCAAAUAUACCCCUCUACUUUAGUUUAAUAGUUAAAUAUACCCUCCGUUAGUCAAAGUAGAUAAAUACACCCUUUCCGUUAGUCAAAGUAGAUAAAUAUACCCCUUUCAUUAAGAAAGUACACAAAUAUACCCCUCAGUCGACAGAAUCCCCAAUUCCACCAUUAAUUAUUCGAUUUAACUUAAAAAAAACCAUGCCCGACCCGCAAAUUAAACUCUUUCCACCCAAAUAUACCCACCACCACUACAACCGACCCAACACAAACAUCACCACCACAACCAGUAAAUUCUUCAUAACCAUCCUUAACCAUGUCCUCGAACAUCACUGAACAAAACAAAAAAGAUCAUUUGAUCUCAGUAAAUACAUUAAAUCAUUAAUACAACAUUGAAUAUCAUAUGCAAAAUACCAGAGAAAGCAUGAUUGUCAUCAGUCAAACAUGAUUAUUAUAAUAUUUCACACUUUAUAAAAUACUUAGGUAUCCAACAGAGAGCUUUGACUUGGAGCAACCUGAGAAAAAUUUCUUCAUGUAUCAUUGUAUCACAUAUCCAGGUAGCUAGCAACAUUAAAAUCAAUAAAAAUGAAACCUUUAGGCUCAAAAAGGCUAGAAAAUCCCUGCCACAAGCCUCCUUUUUAAACAACGGUCCUCCAAUCUAAAAUUACAACAACAACAACAACCCAACCCAGUGAAAUCCUACAUCGUGGGGUCUGAGAAGGGUAGAGUGUACGCAGACCUUACUCCUACCAAGGUCCUCCAAUCUAAAAUUAAAAACUAAAAAUCAACAAUCUCUUGAAGUUUUAGGCACAAAACAAUUGAGGUUGUGGUUAAGGAUGGCUAUGAAGAAUUUACUGGUUGUGGUGGUGAUGUUUGUGUUGGGUCGGUUGUAGUGGUGGUGGGUAUAUUUGGGUGGAAAGAGUUUAAUUUGCGGGUCGGGCAUGGUUUUUUUUAAGUUAAAUCGAAUAAUUAAUGGUGGAAUUGGGGAUUCUGUCGACUGAGGGGUAUAUUUGUGUACUUUCUUAAUGAAAGGGGUAUAUUUAUCUACUUUGACUAACGGAAAGGGUGUAUUUAUCUACUUUGACUAACGGAGGGUAUAUUUAACUAUUAAACUAAAGUAGAGGGGUAUAUUUGACCCUUUUCCCUUUGUAUUAUCAUAUAUUUUGAUGGUUUGGAAAAAAAGAUAACUCAUACUUGAUGGUAUAAAGAAUAAGAAAAAAGUUAGCCUCAAUUUCUCCAAGGAUGUUGCGGUUUAAACCUAGGGUUAUCAUUUUUUGUUUAUGUAGUAAUGAGGAAAUUUAAGGUGUGAAACUCCUGCAGGGAGCGUUAUGCUGAACCAAACUUCACUUCUGCUGGCAUGUGGUCAUUGUCUAAGAGGUGUGCUCUAGUUGUAUGCUACAUGGCUUACCAAAGAUUACUGGUUUCAGAGGCUCAAUAAGAUUUGUGGUGCAUUGCCAUUGUGCAUCACAUGCAUGGUAUGUUCCUCAAACAGGAAAGGUAUCUAUUGGCUUAAGAAAAGACGCUUUUUUUUAAUUGAUAAUACAAUCCAGUUAUCUAUUCCUCUAUAUUUUACGCUGGACAGACAUCACUAUUUAGUUUCUUCGUAUGCAAUAUAUUGCGAAAAAAUAGCGUACUGGCAGUAGUGGGGAAUUAAGUAUUAAAUUGGUGCAGAGGACAUUACUUUGAACCAAUAUAAGCAGUUGAGGUUAGUUCUGUAUUUUUUCUCUUUUUCUAAUUUAUUGCGUUAUACUUCAAACUAAUAAUCGUGUACUAGCAGUAAUGAGGAAUUUAAGGUGUAAAAUUGGGUGUAGAGGGCAUGACUCUGAACCAAUGCAAGCAGCAAAUAACUUCUGCUAGCAUGUCAUCAUUAGCUAAGAGGUAUAUUCGAGUUGUGUGGUUCAUGAUUUAUGAACGAUUAUUGGUUUCGCAAAGGUCUAAUGGGACUUGUAGUGCACUGCCACUCUGUAUUUCAACUAAUGUGAGCAUGAAUGGGACAUUCAUGUUCUCAUACUGGUUGAUGCAUUUAUGAAGAGUUUUCUCAGAUUGCACAUGUUUAUUGGUGUAAAAUCAGCUGACGAGGCUAACCAAGACAUGUUGGGAUGGUUCGGAAGGUCUUUCAAAUUUUACUUGAAUGAGUUGGAUUUUGCUUAUAACGUGAAGCCGGAUGAAGUGUGAGGAGAUAUAUGGAUAUAUUUAAGUCUACAAGGUUGAGUAAGGAGUUGAAACAUGGUGCCAAGAAAAGAUUGAUCGAGGUAGUGGCGAAAUUUUUUACUACGGACAGGAAAAGAGGAUCAAACAGUAGUCAUUGUGCUACUAUUAUGUUUGAAUAAAGGUACGAUGACGACAAAUGAUGGGAAAUGUGCUUGAAGUGAUUGGAAUUUGUAGCAUAUGUCGAUUGGCUGAGGUGAAGAGUCGACGAACGAAAACGACGAACUGAAAAGGAGAGUUAAUCGACUGCAGAUCCUCGCUUUCCUUCCGCAUCGCGGAAGGAUCGUGAGAAGCUUCAGAACUUCAGGCUAUCGAUCCGCAUCGCGUGAAGAAAGCAGAACAACCAAACUCAGACAUCAGAUUGCGCGAUCCGUCCGCGAUGCGGAAGGAAAGCGGGACUCUGCGAAUGUUUUCCCGAUCAGACUGGGAUUUGGACUCCUUAUUUAUUAGUUUUACCCUAGCCUAUAUAUAGACGUUUUUAUAGCUGAGAACGGUAUUCUGGGAUUGGAGAAGGAUUUGUAAGCCACCGUUCUCCUUUUUCUCUCUCUAGGUUAUUUUCUUUUUUCAUCUUUUUCAACCCUAGUUUAUUCAUGGCUUCUUUUGUCUAUGAUCGAAUCAUGAGUAGCUAAAUCUCCUAGUUCUAGGGUUGUGGCGAAAGACUUGAAAGUUGAUGUGAUGACAAUUAUUAUCUAUUGAUUUUCCAUAUUGUGGGUUGCUUAUUUA